rnacentral:rRNA from 1 species
AGUGAACGCUGGCGGCAUGCCUAACACAUGCAAGUCGAACGGCAGGACAGUGAGCUCUCGCUCUUGCGGGUGGCGGGUGCCGGGAGGGUGAGGAAUAGAUCGGAAUCUUAUUUGUCGGGGAGGACAACGAAGAGAAACUGACGCUACUACCUCAUAUGUCGUACCGAAGGGAGCAGUCGUGCUUCGAGGCUUGGGCGUCUGAUUUAGACGAUGCCGGGUUAGCUAGUUGGCGUGGUAAAGGCCCACCAAGGCGACGAUGCGUAGCUGAUCUGAGAGGAUGAUCAGCCACACUGGAACUGAGACACGGUCCAGACUCCUACGGGAGGCAGCAGUGGGGAAUCUUGCGCAAUGGGCGAAAGCCUGAUCGAGCAACGCCGCGUGAGUGAUGAAGGACUUCGGGUCGUAAAGCCCUGUUGUUAGGAAAGAAGAAAAGCAGAUUUAACGAGGGCCGUUUUGACGGUACCCAAAGAAUAAGCCCCGGCUAACUUCGUG